rnacentral:rRNA from 1 species
CAGUAGCCACGGGAAUACGUAGGGUGCAAGCGUUAAUCGGAAUUACUGGGCGUAAAGCGUGCGCAGGCGGUUUGUUAAGACAGAUGUGAAAUCCCCGGGCUCAACCUGGGAACUGCAUUUGUGACUGGCAAGCUAGAGUGUGGCAGAGGGGGGUGGAAUUCCGCGUGUAGCAGUGAAAUGCGUAGAUAUGCGGAGGAACACCGAUGGCGAAGGCAGCCCCCUGGGCCAACACUGACGCUCAUGCACGAAAGCGUGGGGAGCAAACAGGAUUAGAGACCCCCGUAGUCCCUGUCUCUUAUAC